UUAACGAGCGAGACUUGGGCGUGCUAGCUAGGCGCUGUUACCAUUUCCGGUAGCGAGGCGGCCUUCCUAGACGGACUGCGGGCGUCUAGUCCGCGGAAGCUCCAG
rnacentral:rRNA from 2 species